GACAUAGGUGGCGAACGUUAUCCGGAUUUAUUGGGCGUAAAGGAUGCGUAGAUGGUGGAAUAAGUUAUUGGUCAAAGUCAAGCUCAACUUGGCGGAAGCUGGUAAUACUAUUCUACUUGAGGAUAGGAGAGGUUGGCGGAAUUCUGUGUGGAGCGGUGAAAUGCGUAGAUAUCGAGAGGAACACCUGCGGCGAAGGCGGGUUGCUGGGCCGACACUGACGCUGAUGCGCGAAAGCCAGGGGAGCGAACGGG
rnacentral:rRNA from 1 species